ensembl:misc_RNA 7SK 7SK RNA
UAAUGUGAAGGUGAUCUGGCUGUGACACCUGUCAUUCCACUGGAUAAACAAAUGCCCCCAUCCUCCCUUACCAUUUCAUGCAUGUCCCUCAUGAAGCUGUGCCCUUGGCAGAAGAGGAUGGCCUUCCUGAUAGAAAAGGACUCUUCCUCUGAAUAGGGAAUAUGAUCUUAAACCCUCCCUUCUAGAACCUCCAGACAGGCUCUCAGUACAGGCACACUGAAGGCAAUGGGAAGAUGUGGGAUGGCUGCAUGGGUUUUUGGCAUUUCAUC